UUGAGCUUAGUAGUAAGAGCUUUUCUUGGUAAUGUUUCAUUUUUUCUUGUUUGUGACGCUAGUGACAUGGUUCAUAAAUGACAAACAUUAUGAACCAUGAAGUAUGAUGAUAAGCAAACUUUCUUAGCAUAUAGAGUUAAAAUAUUAGCAGCAAAAGGAAUUCAACUAUUUAUAACAAUCCAUUUUCUUUUUGGUAAGCUUAUACCCAAUAUAUUUCUUGUUUGAGUUGAGAAGAAAAAGCUAUAUACUGUAGUGCAAUUUUGAUUUGGGCCUCAUCUGGAACUGCUGUGUUUGAGAAAAUAGGAAUAAAUGCUAUUAGAAAGAAAAGUACUUUUGAAGUGUUUGCUAGACUUUUGAUAGUACUGUUAGUUCAUCGCGAUUUUGGAGAAAAACCACUUGUUGCAGAAACUCAUAUUUGUAGCUUUUGAAACAGCACUUUGGCCUAAAACUGACGCAGUGUUUCAAAAGACAGUUAACCACUAUCUGAUGAAAUUUUAUAAAAGAAAUCUAGUCUGUAUUAGUUACUCCCUCCCUUUCACUUUAUGUGACAUGAUUCGGAGCAUAAGGGUCAGACUACCUAAUUUUCAGUGGUGAAUUCGGACAUAUUUAGGGAAUACAUAUUUAGAAGCUGUGUAAAAAGUACUCCCUCUUCUGUCCCAAAAAGAUUGUCACCUUUCUAUAUUUAGAAACAAUUUAACUUUAUGAGAUGAUUUACAGCCACACAAAUAUCUAAGGCUUGUUUUGGACCACACAUUUCAAAAGUCUUCCUUUA